CCUAACUGCAAUCCUAAAUCUAACCCUAACCCUAACCCUAACCGAAUUAAUAAAAGAAAAUCCAAAAAGAAACAACUUUAGAAAAUCGAUAAGGCGGUUUGCUGGAUGGAAAACAGUGUUAACCACACCCUUUACUCACUCAUGAUUGAGUCGUCAUUUGCCCACUGGAAAAUCACAAGUGACUAGUAACUCGCCACUCGCACACACACGAAACUUGCAAGUGGUGUCAUGUUAGUAUGUUACUCGCAGUUGGUACUUACUACUUAUCACAAAUUAUAUACUGGGUUAACAAUCAGCAGCAUCAGCUUCUAGAAAGUUCAUGAUACAGUGUUGGGGAAAUAGUAAAUACCUGAUACCACGAGACCAGAUCUGCUUGUUUAGGCCGGUAUCCACACGAACAUCUGGUGUUCCCAUAGUUUUUUCUGCAAAUUUUCUGAUUUCCUUGAUUGCACGAGGAGCACGUUUCUUGAAACCACUAAAUUGGUAAAACAAUAA